rnacentral:lncRNA from 1 species
CCUUUAAGCUUAGAAUUCACAUUACUCAGUCAUAGAAUUCAAACAUGUACACAAGUUAGUCUUACUGAUUAAACCAUUACUAUUACAUUAUUAAACUAUUACUAUUACAUUCUGACUAAACCAAAAACAUUAUUGAUGCUUCACCUCUGACCAAGAAGCCAAAACAUUGUUGAGAGGCACAAGUUAAAACCAAAAAAAAAACAUUCAAGAGUUUUGACUAAACUAUUACAUUCUUUUGGAGUUCCUGAACAAAAACUCUUCCAUUAAUCUUUGAAAUCGACGAUAGCUUUGUCAAAUUUCAAAAGCUUCACCUCUGACCAAAAAACCAAUUUGGAAUUUUGAGCUGAAUUUCACUGCAAAUAACAUGAACAGUAAUCAGUGCAAGUAACUUUGGAGCCUAUAAGUUAAAUGAUUAUUGCAGCAUCAACAUCAUUUGUUAAAGGAUUUGGAUAUACCAAAAUGAGCCACAUUUGGAACUAAGGGUGUGUUUGAUUAGCUCUUAACGCCUCUUAAUUGGAGUGCCUCUGAUUCGGUCAGAGGCAAAACAUGUUUGGUAAAAAAAAAUUGUCUCUUAAUACCUCUUAAUCGGUUAGACACAAAAUUAAAGCUUAACCAUUUAGAGGCACAUCUGAAUGAGUUUAUAUUUUUUUGGACAAAAAUACCCUCUUCAAUAUUAUUAAUUUCUUUUUGUAUCCAUUAAUUUAACCCUCUGUCUCUCUCUCUCUCUCUCUUCGUUAAUCAGUUCAUCUUCAACAUGAAGGGGCCAUUAAAGAACAUCUAAACCAGAGAGGGCGAAGAAGAGAGAGCCGAAAACAGUAGAAAUAGAUUCAAUGGUAGGAAUUGAUUGCACCCAAAAUCUUGAGAAAGUAUUCCAAAAUCUGAGGAUGUUGACUCAAAUACACCCCACUUGCAAUGAUUUCUUCCUCCACCUGGUUCCGCUACGUAGUUAACAAAUUCGAGUACUACUUUUGUAAAGAUUGUUCCUUUUUCACAUGAUUAGUAUUACUUUUUCUUAAGUUUUGAAGCCAUUUUCAUAGAAUGACCGGUUUGACGGGGUUUACGUUCAAAGGGAUUAACGGGAUUUGUAUAAAUGAUAAAUAUUUUUAUGUUGGUUGACAUUUAUUUGAAGAACUUUUUUCUGGGAUGGUUCCCCUUUUAUUGUUGUUGGGAAUAAAUGUUGACUCAUUCUUGGAGUCAGAUUCAAUAUCAGUAGGAACCCAUUGUUUUUCUUGUUGCUGCUGUUCAGAAGAUUUGAUUUGGGGAAAAUUUUUUCUGAUUCCCCUUUUUCUGUUUGUUUUUCUGUUUGGGAAUUUUGUAGUUUAUAUAUAUAUAUUUUUGUUUAGAGGAUUAAAAUGGUAAAAUAUUAUUAUUCAGAUAUUUUGAAAAAAAUAUUAUCAAACAACAUUUUUUCAUUCAGAUACAAUUCUAUUCAGGUGCUCUAUAUUAUUCAGACUUCUAAACUGUUCAGGUCUUAACACUCAUUUUUAUCAAACACCACCCAAGUCAAUAAGGUAUAGAUGUUAGCAUUCACUUACAAUAACAGUUCUAGAAAUAAGAGCAGCCUCAAUCAUGGUAGAUUAAUGAUUAAUACACCCAGAUAAAUGCAUUCAUGCUGUGAUAUCCAUAUUAAAACACAAAUUCUACUGUUUCUGAACAGGCCUUCUUGUACUUCAUAACAAAUGAAAGAAAAUAUAAUUCUCACCAUCAACAGACAUGUAACUGUGAGGAACAGAAGGAUAUGAUAAAUGCAACUUCCAAAAAAUGCAGCUUGAAUUAGGUUGUAUAUAUUGCAGUUCGCCUCUUGAAGCUUACUAUGAGAAACAUUCAAAAUCUAGUCCGAUGCAAGAUUGAUAGCAUUCCAGAAGUUGAUGAUCUUAUGGGAGGCAUUGGUUUGCUGAAUACUUUUUUGGGGAGGACAUCUCCUGGGAAUCUUUUCGAGCUUAAAAGUAAGUUAAAGAGUCUGGAUGGGAAAAUAAAAGAAUUAUCAAAUGUUUUUCAAAACCCUGGCCCUUUACAUGAUAUUAUUGUAUGUUGGAUAGAUCAACAUGAAUCACAAAGUGGAGAAGGUUUCAAGCGCCUUCAACUACUCAUUAUUGAACUAACACGGUCUGGGAUUUUCUACCCUCAAGCAUAUGUGAGGCAAUUGAUUGUUAGUGGAAUUAUGGAUCGGGAUGGCCCUCUAGCUGAUCUGGACAGAAGGAAGAGACAUUGUAAAAUCUUAAAGCAGCUCCCUGGUCCUUAUAUUUGUGAUGCUUUAGAAGAAGCACAAGUCAUAGAGGUGGCAAUGCUUGCAGAAGCCAUGCAUGUUUACUCAAAUGAACGUCGACUUGUGCUUCGUGGGCUUAUUGAUAAUCAAAAAAGCAUAAACAGAACAAAUAUUUUGUCUCAGAAACAAAAGAAUCGCCUAAACUUUGUCUGGGAUAGUUCUUCAUUGUCGCCCGUAGAUCUGUGGAAAAGUGUGCCAUCAGAAACAACUGUAUUAGGUUGUAUUACCUUUCCUAGUUGUUCAAAAAAUCCAUAUUGACAACUCUGAAAGAAGUCUUCACCUGAUUUAUUCUCAAAAGAUUAACACCAAAAUUUCACUACUGGGAAUUUUGGCUUUUGAAACAUACAAUUUGAUUGUUUUCAGUCCUAAAAAAACAUACAAUUUGAUUGGUAAUGGUCAAAAAUUACCUGCACCUAAUAGUCAGUCCUAAAAAAAAAACAAAGUCAUUUGAGAAUAAAAACUUCAAAAGGUAGAAAACCAAAAAUAUGACAACUUCAAAUCAACUAAUUAACAGACCCAUAUCAAAAAUGAACAGAAAUCAAUAAGCAAGAAUUGACCCAUCAAUACCCGUAUAAUCCAAAUACUCAAAAAGAGUUCUCGGUUCUCAGAAUUGACCCAUCAACCACAGCGAAACAUCACAGAAAAAUUAGAAGGAAAAAGACACAUACCAAAUACAGCCUAAAUCGCGAAUCUUAGAGAAGCUUUAGUUGAGAAGAGAGAUUCUUAGAGAAGCUAGGGCACAGCGAACUAUUAUGCGAUUCUCAGGGCUUGCAGAUUAGGAGAGAAUCGCGACCCAUUUGGAGAGAAUCACUGAGAAUCGCAACCCAUUUGGAGAGCAGUGGGAAACUAGGGCUUGCAGAUUCGCGAGAGAGGGUAGGAGAGAAUGGCGAAGUUCAGAUUUGGGUUUUUUAAAAAAGACGCGGAAGGUUGGCUAAG